UACGUAGGGGGCGAGCGUUGUCCGGAUUUAUUGGGCGUAAAGAGCUCGUAGGCGGUUUGGUAAGUCGGGUGUGAAAUCUCCACGCUCAACGUGGAGGGGCCACUCGAUACUGCCAUGACUCGAGUCCGGUAGAGGAGUGUGGAAUUCCCGGUGUAGCGGUGAAAUGCGCAGAUAUCAGGAGGAACACCGGUGGCGAAGGCGGUUCUCUGGGCAUUACCUGACGCUGAGGAGCGAAAGCAUGGGGAGCAAACAGG
rnacentral:rRNA from 1 species